UACGUAGGGGGCAAGCGUUGUCCGGAUUCAUUGGGCGUAAAGAGCGCGUAGGCGGCCAGAUAAGUCCGGUGUGAAAGUCACAGGCUCAACCUGUGAAUGCCGCUGGAAACUGUCUGGCUAGAGUGCGGAAGAGGCGAGUGGAAUUCCUGGUGUAGCGGUGAAAUGCGCAGAUAUCAGGAGGAACACCAAUUGCGAAGGCAGCUCGCUGGGACGUAACUGACGCUGAGACGCGAAAGCGUGGGGAGCAAACAGG
rnacentral:rRNA from 1 species